rnacentral:lncRNA from 13 species
AUGGGGGUCUCCACUGGUAUUUCCUCCGUUAUCCCUUCAUGGAUCAGGACCAUGUUGUGGAGAACACAUGCACUGGUAUUUCCUCCUUUAUCCCUUCAUGGAUCAGGACCAUGUUGUGGAGAACACAUGCACUGGUAUUUCCUCUUUUAUCCCUUCAUGGAUCAGGACCAUGUUGUGGAGAACACAUGCACUGGUAUUUCCUCCGUUAUCCCUUCAUGGAUCAGGACCAUGUUGUGGAGAACACAUGCACUGGUAUUUCCUCUUUUAUCCCUUCAUGGAUCAGGACCAUGUUGUGGAGAACACAUGCACUGGUAUUUCCUCCGUUAUCCCUUCAUGGAUCAGGACCAUGUUGUGGAGAACACAUGCACUGGUAUUUCCUCUUUUAUCCCUUCAUGGAUCAGGACCAUGUUGUGGAGAACACAUGCACUGGUAUUUCCUCUUUUAUCCCUUCAUGGAUCAGGACCAUGUUGUGGAGAACACAUGCACUGGCAAUCCCAUGGUACUUUGUUUAGAAGGCGCAUGUCCAAAUGUAGGAGUCUCCUCCACUUGAGUAUCCCAAACGCCCUCUCAAUGUGUCCACGUGUUGAACUGUGGACCUGGUUGAAAUGCUUUUGUUCGUCUUCAAGGUGGCCGUUGUUUCUGAAUGGGACAAUUAAGUCCACGCUCAGGGAGUAUGCAGAAUCCCAGAGCAGAUGGACUUGGGUUGGUCUCCAGUUGGGACUUGAGGUCGCUGGUCCUGUACACUCUGGCAUCGUGCACAGAACCAGCAUUCCCUGUGUAGAUGUUUGUAAAAAUGAGCUGGCUGUCGCACACUGCCUGGAGUUGGAAGCUGGCAUGGCUCUUUCUGCUUAUGUAGGCAUCCCUGUUGUUGGAGGGUCCCCUGAUGGCACCCACAUUGCCAUCUACACACCCAAUCACCCUAGGGAAUCCCGUCUUUCUCUCAAAUGCAGCCACUGGCAGCUGCUCUACAGAAGGCCACUUUACUUCACAGAAGGCCACUUCACUUCACACUUCCACUUCACUUCACUCUACAGGCCUGUUACCACUUGA